rnacentral:tRNA from 1 species
GGGGCUGUAGCUCAGUUGGCUAGAGCGGUUGGUUCGCAAUCAACAGGUCAGGGGUUCGAGUCCCCUCAGCUCCACCA